AUUGAACGCUGGCGGCAGGCUUAACACAUGCAAGUCGAGCGAGUGGCGGACGGGUGAGUAAUGUCUGGGAAACUGCCUGAUGGAGGGGGAUAACUACUGGAAACGGUAGCUAAUACCGCAUACCAUCAGAUGUGCCCAGAUGGGAUUAGCAAGUAGGUGGGGUAAUGGCUCACCUAGGCGACGAUCCCUAGCUGGUCUGCGAGGAUGACUAGCCACACUGUAACUGAGACACGGUCCAGACUCCUACGGUAGGCAGCAGUGGGGAAUAUCGCACAAUGGGCGCAAGCCGGAUGCAGCCAGGCCGCGUGUGUGAAGAAGGCCUUCGGGUUGUAAAGCACUUUCAGCGAGGAGGCGUUACUCGCAGAAGAAGCACCGGCUAACUCCGUGCCAGCAGCCGCGGUAAUUC
rnacentral:rRNA from 1 species